AUCAAUAAAAAUUAAAUUAAAUCUUCAGUUGUUAAGAGGAAGUCAAGCUCUUUGGAUCAUUUUCCUCUGAAUGGAGGGUGUGCUUCUGAAGACUUUUUCUUCAGGAUUCUCUCUUUAGAGAGGUCUCUUAAUAGACUCAAGUUCAAUACAAUUUAUUUUCUGAAGUUUUAUUUCUCCUUGGCCCUUCUAUUUGGGGAUUUGGAUCUGGAGAGUGAGACACCUUCUUAAUAGUAACUCAACAACAAAGUUAUAAAAGCUACGGCGUUGUGUUUGGGGUUCACAACUCAAUACGUCCCCCGUUGUAUAAGAAAACUGUUAUUUUGCGUGUUCUCAUUCGAAGGCUUUAACUCUCUAGAAUAUGAUUCGGCUCAAGAAGUUUUCCUUUUUUUUCCAUAAUAAACCUAAUAAGAGAAGGAAAAAUCUGUAUAGUUUCAAGUAAAACUUUUCAAUGAUGUUAGCAAAUUUAAUCAAUGACUUCAAGUGAUGAUAGGAUCUGAAGUCAUUUGUGUUUCUAAAGAAGUCUUUAUUAAUAAUUUUAUUGACAUGAAUACAAGAUCCAAACUCUAAACUUUAAAAUGAGUAAUUUUCACAUUUUAUGAUUAAUAUGCUUAAGUAUUUAUCCCUUAUCCUCUCAUGAAAUUAUGUCCUUGAAUUUCUUAGAAGGUUUUUAUAACUUCGACAGACAUGUUCGAGAAAAAAUGAUAUAAAUACUAAUUUUUUUUAACUCCUCUGCCUUGACUCCAAUUAUAUUAUAAAAUAUUUAUAGACCUAUUAAUUUAUCAAUAUAUGAUGUAAUGUCGAAUAUAUGAGAGGGAAGUUUGGUUUUGUUACAAAAGUAUAAAGAGAGCAGAAAUAUCUAUCUAUUCAAAAAUAUAUUAUCCAAUCUCUUAUUGUUCCGUAUUUGAAUGUAAUGUUAAGUAAAAGACUUGAUCAAUGAUAACUAUUUAAAAGCAAAAAUUGCAUUGACAUAUUAUGAACUACUCCAAAAUACAUACAUAAGUAAUUA
rnacentral:lncRNA from 1 species